ACUACGGGUGGCAGCAGUGAGGAAUAUUGGUCAAUGGACGGAAGUCUGAACCAGCCAUGUCGCGUGCAGGAAGACGGCCCUAUGAGUUGUAAACUGCUUUUGUACAAGGGUAAUGGGUGAUCGGGUGAUUCAGCUGAAAGUACUUUACGAAUAAGGAUCGGCUAACUCCGUGCCAGCAGCCGCGGUAAUACGGCGGAUGCACGCUUUGUCCGGAUUUAUUGGGUUUAAAGGGUGCGUAGGCGGAUUGAUAAGUUAGAGGUGAAAUGUCCGAGCUUAACUCGGGAACUGCCUCUAAUACUGUUGAUCUAGAGAGUAGAUGCGGUAGGCGGAAUGUAUGGUGUAGCGGUGAAAUGCUUAGAGAUCAUACAGAACACCGAUUGCGAAGGCAGCUUACCAAUCUAUAUCUGACGUUGAGGCACGAAAGCGUGGGGAGCAAACAGGAUUAGAUACCCGAGUAGUC
rnacentral:rRNA from 1 species